rnacentral:rRNA from 1 species
GACGAACGCUGGCGGCGUGCUUAACACAUGCAAGUCGAACGAUGAAAUUCUGACGGAGACUUCGGUCAACUGAAGGAUGGAUUAGUGGCGGACGGGUGAGUAACGCGUGAGUAACCUGCCUCUCAGAGUGGAAUAACAUUUGGAAACGAAUGGUAAUACCGCAUAAUGUCACGGAACCGCAUGAUUCUGUGACCAAAGGAGCAAUCCGCUGAGAGAUGGACUCGCGUCCGAUUAGCUAGUUGGAGAGGUAACGGCUCCCCAAGGCGACGAUCGGUAGCCGGACUGACGAGGUUGAACGGCCACAUUGGGACUGAGACACGGCCCAGACUCCUACGGGAGGCAGCAGUGGGGAACUAUUGCACAAUGGGGGAAACCCUGAUGCAGCAACGCCGCGUGAA